GAUGAACGCUAGCGGCAGGCCUAACACAUGCAAGUCGAGGGGCAGCACAUAAAGUGGUUUACUACUUUUGGUGGCGACCGGCGGACGGGUGCGUAACGCGUAUGCAACCUGCCUCCAACAGGGGGAUAACGGAGAGAAGUUUCCACUAAUACCCCAUAAUAUCAGAAUCGGCAUCGGUUUUGGUUGAAAACUCCGGUGGUUGGAGAUGGGCUUGCGUUGUAUUAGAUAGUUGGUGAGGUAACGGCUCACCAAGUCAACGAUACAUAGGGGGACUGAGAGGUUAGCCCCCCACACUGGUACUGAGACACGGACCAGACUCCUACGGGAGGCAGCAGUGAGGAAUAUUGGUCAAUGGGGGCAACCCUGAACCAGCCAUGCCGCGUGCAGGAAGACGGCUCUAUGAGUUGUAAACUGCUUUUACAAGGGGAUAAAUCGGUGUACGUGUACACCGUUGAAGGUACCUUGGGAAUAAGGAUCGGCUAACUCCGUGCCAGCCGCCGCGGUAA
rnacentral:rRNA from 1 species